AAUGUAAUUUAAAUAUUUCAUUUAUAUUGUAAGAAAUUUCCUCUCUCUAUAAAUCUCACUACCCUCUCUCUCACUGCUCUGUCUCUCUCUAAACUAGGGUAUUAGCAUUCCGGUAGUGCGGCGAUGGCGGAUUUUUGGUGGUGACGGCAACAGUGAGUUGGUAGUAUUGGGCCCUUUUUGUUGGUGGUGAAGGCACUGCGACAGUUGAAGAUGAAGGACACCUGAGAUAUCUGAGUUGCGCUCUGUUUUUGUAGUUUUUUACUUUGUCUUAUUCAAUGUAACUCACAUAGGAAUUUGCUUUCCUUGCCCAAGUACUAUUUCUAUUAGGAGUGCAUUGCCUCCGCUUUGUUCAUUUCUUAUGCUUCCAGAAAUGAAUACCGGAGGGUAGACACGUCUAUUAAAAGAAAAAUGUAUCUUCAAUGAGUGUAUUAUGAUUUACAUUUCAGAAAGUGAAAAUUUAUUGAGUUGAGUUGUAGUAA